rnacentral:rRNA from 1 species
UACGGGGGGGGUAAGCGUUGUUCGGAAUUACUGGGCGUAAAGGGCUCGUAGGCGGCCAACUAAGUCAGACGUGAAAUCCCUCAGCUUAACUGGGGAACUGCGUCUGAUACUGGAUGGCUUGGAUUCGGGAGAGGAAUGCGGAAUUCCGAGGUGUAGCGGUGAAAUGCGUAGAUAUCUGGAGGAACACCGGUGGCGAAGGCGGCAUCCUGGACCGGCAUUGACGCUGAGGCGCGAAAGCCAGGGGAGCAAGCGGG